rnacentral:rRNA from 1 species
AUACGAAGGGGGCUAGCGUUGUUCGGAAUCACUGGGCGUAAAGCGCACGUAGGUGGAUCAAUCAGUUGAGGGUGAAAUCCCGGGGCUCAACCUCGGAACUGCCUUCAAUACUGUUGGUCUUGAGUCCGUGAGAGGUGAGUGGAAUUCCUAGUGUAGAGGUGAAAUGCGUAGAUAUUAGGAAGAACACCAGUGGCGAAGGCGGCUCACUGGCUCGGUACUGACGCUGAGGUGCGAAAGCGUGGGGAGCAAACAGAAGUAGAAACCCUAGUAGUCC